rnacentral:ncRNA from 1 species
UUUAGUAUAUUCGCUUUAACUACAAGUUCAGGUUUAUUAUUGCUGUAUAUUUAUUUAGUGAAUAUAUAAAAAAUUAAAGAAGAGUUUAUGAAGGAAUAGAAAUCUUCAAGUAAAAAGUACUAAACUUUUUAAAUUUUUAUUUUAAUUGUAAUAUAGUCACGAAAGUGUGGUGUAUGAUCCUUUAGCUGCUCGAAGUUUGAGCCUAGGGGUGUUAGAAGAGUUGCUACUGGGAUGCCAGGCUUGUGAAUACUAAGAGUUUAUAGCAAUGUAGCUUUUUUAUCUUUUGAUGUAGACUCUUUCUAUCAUAUUGAAGUCGAGCUCAGUAACAGUCGAUUGCUCGUUCGCUAAUAAGGAAUGUGAGCUGGGUUUUGACUAUAGCAUGACAGGUUA